rnacentral:lncRNA from 1 species
UCAUUAAAGAUAGAUACUCGUAAAUUAACAAACAUCAUUUUAUUACAUAGAACUAAAAAUAUUAGUACAUGAUCACAAUCCAACAUUCGACCUCUCUAAACGGCUCUCUAGUUGAAGAUUAGACACAGACACACCAUUUCCAUAUUAACUGAUACUACUAAAACACGCAUAAUGUCAAAUUAAACACAACAGUUGAAUCUGUCCUGAUUCCUAUGG